UAAUUUAAAUACUAAAUGGUUAUUCAGUUUAGGUUAAAAAAAAAGUGGAUUAUCCUUAAGAUAAUAUUUGAUGAAAACCCAAAUUUCACGUGGAACUGACGACAUUUUGCAAAGCGAGAAUCUAUUUAGCACGGUAAACAUCAAAUGAAAUUGGUUGAAUAACCUCUUCAUUAUAAUAAUUUAUAUAGCGAUAUUUGCGCCCCUGCUUGCCACUUUUUCUUUUGUGUAUAUUUUUUUAAAUAGUAGUAUAGCGCACAAGUUUCAUCUGUAAUACUAUUAAUAUGCAUACUGAGCAAGAUAUGUUCGCUGGUGGAGGAAUCUUACAAAAGCCGUUAUAAUUUGGCCUAAUUAAAUAAAUCACUGUUGUACUAUUAUAGUGAAAAAUGACAAGCGUCUGCAUGAAUGCGAAUUUAUAUCCUUUCAGUCUAUAGUUGCCUUGUGAUAGAAUUAACUCAUACAGUGUGUCACGUUUAAAGCAACUAAAAAGGCAUAGUGGUAAGAAGGCGAAAACAUACUAGUCAGGUAUUCUUUUCUAGCUACUUUAAAAAAGCUUCCAUUUCGUGGCUGUUGUCGAGUAUGCAAAUAACUGAAAUGUCAAUUGUUGGAACAUGAAUGACAAUCAUGCUGAAUAAUUGUAACCACACAAUUCAUUUUUGUACUAUGCACAUUGACCACUUCUUAUUUUCCUCUUUGGUGUUUGUACAGUUAAAUUUUGUUCGCCAUACAUCUCCUUAAAUGGUAUAGCGAUAAGCACCGACAGCUAGAAAUAUGUCAACUAUUAUAAUGUGAUGUACGCAAAUGUUAGUAGAAUCUUACAUUUACUGUUUUCCUUCUGCUUUUUCUAUGGAUGAUGAAUGUAGCUAAGAAUCAGUUUUACGUUAAUCUGUAAUCACAAACCGCUCAUACAAAAGAAGUAAUCU